GACGACCGCUGGCGGCGUGCUUAACACAUGCAAGUCGAACGGAAAGGCCCUGCUUUUGUGGGGUGCUCGAGUGGCGAACGGGUGAGUAACACGUGAGUAACCUGCCCUUGACUUUGGGAUAACUUCAGGAAACUGGGGCUAAUACCGGAUAGGAGCUCCUGCUGCAUGGUGGGGGUUGGAAAGUUUCGGCGGUUGGGGAUGGACUCGCGGCUUAUCAGCUUGUUGGUGGGGUAGUGGCUUACCAAGGCUUUGACGGGUAGCCGGCCUGAGAGGGUGACCGGCCACAUUGGGACUGAGAUACGGCCCAGACUCCUACGGGAGGCAGCAGUGGGGAAUAUUGCACAAUGGGCGGAAGCCUGAUGCAGCAACGCCGCGUGCGGGAUGACGGCCUUCGGGUUGUAAACCGCUUUCGCCUGUGACGAAGCGUGAGUGACGGUAAUGGGUAAAGAAGCACGGGCUAACUACGUG
rnacentral:rRNA from 1 species